rnacentral:rRNA from 1 species
UACGAAGGGGGCUAGCGUUGCUCGGAAUUACUGGGCGUAAAGGGCGCGUAGGCGGAUAUUUAAGUCAGGGGUGAAAGCCCGGGGCUCAACCUCGGAACUGCCUUUGAUACUGGAUAUCUUGAGUUCGGGAGAGGUGAGUGGAAUGCCGAGUGUAGAGGUGAAAUUCGUAGAUAUUCGGCGGAACACCAGUGGCGAAGGCGGCUUACUGGUCCGGUUCUGACGCUGAGGCGCGAAAGCGUGGGGAGCAAACAGG